AUUGAACGCUGGCGGCAGGCCUAACACAUGCAAGUCGAGCGGAGCGGCGGACGGGUGAGUAAUACCUAGGAAUCUGCCUGGUCGUGGGGGAUAACGUUCGGAACUGGACGCUAAUACCGCAUACUCUCUGCUGAGCCUCGGUCGGAUUAGCUAGUUGGUGAGGUAAUGGCUCACCCAGGCUACGAUCCGUAACUGGUCUGAGAGGAUGAUCAUUCACACUGGAACUGAGACACGGUCCAGACUCCUACGGGAGGCAGCAGUGGGGAAUAUUGGACAAUGGGCGAAAGCCGGAUCCAGCCAUGCCGCGUGUGUGAAGAAGGUCUUCGGAUUGUAAAGCACUUUAAGUUGGGAGGCGUUACCGACAGAAUAAGCACCGGCUAACUCGGUGCCAGCCGCCGCGGUAAUUC
rnacentral:rRNA from 1 species